UUAAGCGACUAAGCGUACACGGUGGAUGCCCUGGCAGUCAGAGGCGAUGAAGGGCGUGCUAAUCUGCGAUAAGCGCCGGUAAGGUGAUAUGAACCGUUAUAACCGGCGAUACCCGAAUGGGGAAACCCAGUGUGACUCGUCACACUAUCAUUAACUGAAUCCAUAGGUUAAUGAGGCGAACCGGGGGAACUGAAACAUCUAAGUACCCCGAGGAAAAGAAAUCAACCGAGAUUCCCCCAGUAGCGGCGAGCGAACGGGGAGGAGCCCAGAGCCUGAAUCAGCAUGUGUGUUAGUGGAAGCGUCUGGAAAGGCGCGCGAUACAGGGUGACAGCCCCGUACACAAAAGCGCAUGUGCUGUGAGCUCGAUGAGUAGGGCGGGACACGUGGUAUCCUGUCUGAAUAUGGGGGGACCAUCCUCCAAGGCUAAAUACUCCUGACUGACCGAUAGUGAACCAGUACCGUGAGGGAAAGGCGAAAAGAACCCCGGCGAGGGGAGUGAAAAAGAACCUGAAACCGUGUACGUACAAGCAGUGGGAGCNNGUGACUGCGUACCUUUUGUAUAAUGGGUCAGCGACUUAUAUUCUGUAGCAAGGUUAACCGAAUAGGGGAGCCGGAGGGAAACCGAGUCUUAAUUGGGCGUUAAGUUGCAGGGUAUAGACCCGAAACCCGGUGAUCUAGCCAUGGGCAGGUUGAAGGUUGGGUAACACUAACUGGAGGACCGAACCGACUAAUGUUGAAAAAUUAGCGGAUGACCUGUGGCUGGGGGUGAAAGGCCAAUCAAACCGGGAGAUAGCUGGUUCUCCCCGAAAGCUAUUUAGGUAGCGCCUCGUGAAUUCAUCUCCGGGGGUAGAGCACUGUUUCGGCUAGGGGGCCAUCCCGGCUUACCAACCCGAUGCAAACUGCGAAUACCGGAGAAUGUUAUCACGGGAGACACACGGCGGGUGCUAACGUCCGUCGUGAAGAGGGAAACAACCCAGACCGCCAGCUAAGGUCCCAAAGUCAUGGUUAAGUGGGAAACGAUGUGGGAAGGCCCAGACAGCCAGGAUGUUGGCUUAGAAGCAGCCAUCAUUUAAAGAAAGCGUAAUAGCUCACUGGUCGAGUCGGCCUGCGCGGAAGAUGUAACGGGGCUAAACCAUGCACCGAAGCUGCGGCAGCGANNGUUGGGUAGGGGAGCGUUCUGUAAGCCUGUGAAGGUGUGUCGUGAGGCAUGCUGGAGGUAUCAGAAGUGCGAAUGCUGACAUAAGUAACGAUAAAGCGGGUGAAAAGCCCGCUCGCCGGAAGACCAAGGGUUCCUGUCCAACGUUAAUCGGGGCAGGGUGAGUCGACCCCUAAGGCGAGGCCGAAAGGCGUAGUCGAUGGGAAACGGGUUAAUAUUCCCGUACUUGGUGUUACUGCGAAGGGGGGACGGAGAAGGCUAUGUUGGCCGGGCGACGGUUGUCCCGGUUUAAGCGUGUAGGNNNNNNNNNNNNNNNNNNNNNNNNNNNNNNNNNNNNNGGAGCUGAAGUCAGUCGAAGAUACCAGCUGGCUGCAACUGUUUAUUAAAAACACAGCACUGUGCAAACACGAAAGUGGACGUAUACGGUGUGACGCCUGCCCGGUGCCGGAAGGUUAAUUGAUGGGGUCAGCGCAAGCGAAGCUCCUGAUCGAAGCCCCGGUAAACGGCGGCCGUAACUAUAACGGUCCUAAGGUAGCGAAAUUCCUUGUCGGGUAAGUUCCGACCUGCACGAAUGGCGUAAUGAUGGCCAGGCUGUCUCCACCCGAGACUCAGUGAAAUUGAACUCGCUGUGAAGAUGCAGUGUACCCGCGGCAAGACGGAAAGACCCCGUGAACCUUUACUAUAGCUUGACACUGAACAUUGAGCCUUGAUGUGUAGGAUAGGUGGGAGGCUUUGAAGCGUGGACGCCAGUCUGCGUGGAGCCGACCUUGAAAUACCACCCUUUAAUGUUUGAUGUUCUAACGUGGACCCGUAAUCCGGGUUGCGGACAGUGUCUGGUGGGUAGUUUGACUGGGGCGGUCUCCUCCUAAAGAGUAACGGAGGAGCACGAAGGUUGGCUAAUCCUGGUCGGACAUCAGGAGGUUAGUGCAAUGGCAUAAGCCAGCUUGACUGCGAGCGUGACGGCGCGAGCAGGUGCGAAAGCAGGUCAUAGUGAUCCGGUGGUUCUGAAUGGAAGGGCCAUCGCUCAACGGAUAAAAGGUACUCCGGGGAUAACAGGCUGAUACCGCCCAAGAGUUCAUAUCGACGGCGGUGUUUGGCACCUCGAUGUCGGCUCAUCACAUCCUGGGGCUGAAGUAGGUCCCAAGGGUAUGGCUGUUCGCCAUUUAAAGUGGUACGCGAGCUGGGUUUAGAACGUCGUGAGACAGUUCGGUCCCUAUCUGCCGUGGGCGCUGGAGAACUGAGGGGGGCUGCUCCUAGUACGAGAGGACCGGAGUGGACGCAUCACUGGUGUUCGGGUUGUCAUGCCAAUGGCACUGCCCGGUAGCUAAAUGCGGAAGAGAUAAGUGCUGAAAGCAUCUAAGCACGAAACUUGCCCCGAGAUGAGUUCUCCCUGAGACUUAGAGUCUCCUGAAGGAACGUUGAAGACGACGACGUUGAUAGGCCGGGUGUGUAAGCGCAGCGAUGCGUUGAGCUAACCGGUACUAAUG
rnacentral:rRNA from 1 species